GAGGGUAUAGCUCAGUGGUAGAGCACAUGCUUAGCAUGCACAAGGUCCUGGGUUCAAUCCCCAGUACCUCCA
rfam:Camelus ferus unplaced genomic scaffold scaffold1179, whole genome shotgun sequence.